rnacentral:rRNA from 1 species
UACGGAGGGUGCAAGCGUUGUCCGGAAUCACUGGGCGUAAAGGGCGCGUAGGCGGCUCAUGAAGGCUGUGGUGAAAGUCCGGGGCUCAACCUCGGAUCGGCCGUGGCGACUCGUGGGCUGGAGCACUGUAGAGGCGGGUGGAAUUCCGGGUGUAGCGGUGGAAUGCGUAGAGAUCCGGAAGAACACCAGUGGCGAAGGCGCCCGCUGGGCAGUGGCUGACGCUGAGGCGCGACAGCGUGGGGAGCAAACGAGG